ACGAACGCUGGCGGCGUGCCUAACACAUGCAAGUCGAACGGAGAUACAGGGGCUUGCCCCUGUAUCUUAGUGGCGGACGGGCGAGUAACGCGUGAGGAACCUGCCCUUCAGUGGGGAAUAACGGCUGGAAACGGUCGCUAAUACCGCAUGACACAUUGGUACCGCAUGAUACUGAUGUCAAAGGAGCAAUCCGCUGAAGGAUGGCCUUGCGUCCGAUUAGCUAGUUGGUGGGGUAACGGCCUACCAAGGCGACGAUCGGUAGCCGAACUGAGAGGUUGAUCGGCCGCAUUGGGACUGAGACACGGCCCAGACUCCUACGGGAGGCAGCAGUGGGGGAUAUUGGUCAAUGGGGGAAACCCUGAACCAGCAACGCCGCGUGAGGGAAGACGGCCUUCGGGUUGUAAACCUAAGUGAUCAGGGACGAAGGAAGUGACGGUACCUGAAAAGCAAGCUCCGGCUAACUACGUGCCAGCAGCCGCGGUAAUACGUAGGGAGCGAGCGUUGUCCGGAUUUACUGGGUGUAAAGGGUGCGUAGGCGGGAAAGCAAGUCAGGUGUGAAAUACCGGGGCUCAACUCCGGGGCUGCGCUUGAAACUGUUUUUCUUGAGUGAAGUAGAGGCAGGCGGAAUUCCUAGUGUAGCGGUGGAAUGCGUAGAUAUUAGGAGGAACACCAGUGGCGAAGGCGGCCUGCUGGGCUUUAACUGACGCUGAGGCACGAAAGCAUGGGGAGCAAACAGGAUUAGAUACCCUGGUAGUCCAUGCUGUAAACGAUGAUUGCUAGGUGUGGGGGGACUGACCCCUUCCGUGCCGGAGUAAACACAAUAAGCAAUCCACCUGGGGAGUACGACCGCAAGGUUGAAACUCAAAGGAAUUGACGGGGGCCCGCACAAGCAGUGGAGUAUGUGGAUUAAUUCGACGCAACGCGAAGAACCUUACCAGGUCUUGACAUCCGGCUAACGAAGCAGAGAUGCAUUAGGUGCCCUUCGGGGAAAGUCGAGACAGGUGGUGCAUGGUUGUCGUCAGCUCGUGUCGUGAGAUGUUGGGUUAAGUCCCGCAACGAGCGCAACCCCUGUUUCUAGUUGCCAGCAUGUAAAGAUGGGAACUCUAGAAAGACUGCCGUAGAUAAUACGGAGGAAGGUGGGGAUGACGUCAAAUCAUCAUGCCCUUUAUGUCCUGGGCUACACACGUACUACAAUGGCUGUAACAGAGGGAAGCAACAUAGAGAUGUGAAGCAAAUCCCAAAAAGCAGUCUCAGUUCGGAUUGAAGGCUGAAAUUCGCCUUCAUGAAGCCGGAAUUGCUAGUAAUGGCAGGUCAGCAUACUGCCGUGAAUACGUUCCCGGGCCUUGUACACACCGCCCGUCACACCAUGGGAGCCGGUAAUACCCGAAGUCAGUAGCCUAACCGCAAGGGGGGCGCUGCCGAAGGUAGGAUUGGCGACUGGGGUG
rnacentral:rRNA from 1 species